rnacentral:rRNA from 1 species
CCUACGGGAGGCAGCAGUAGGGAAUCUUCCACAAUGGACGCAAGUCUGAUGGAGCAACGCCGCGUGAGUGAAGAAGGGUUUCGGCUCGUAAAGCUCUGUUGUUAAAGAAGAACGUGGGUAAGAGUAACUGUUUACCCAGUGACGGUAUUUAACCAGAAAGCCACGGCUAACUACGUGCCAGCAGCCGCGGUAAUACGUAGGUGGCAAGCGUUAUCCGGAUUUAUUGGGCGUAAAGCGAGCGCAGGCGGUCUUUUAAGUCUAAUGUGAAAGCCUUCGGCUCAACCGAAGAAGUGCAUUGGAAACUGGGAGACUUGAGUGCAGAAGAGGACAGUGGAACUCCAUGUGUAGCGGUGAAAUGCGUAGAUAUAUGGAAGAACACCAGUGGCGAAGGCGGCUGUCUGGUCUGCAACUGACGCUGAGGCUCGAAAGCAUGGGUAGCGAACAGGAUUAGAUACCCUGGUAGUCCAUGCCGUAAACGAUGAUUACUAAGUGUUGGAGGGUUUCCGCCCUUCAGUGCUGCAGCUAACGCAUUAAGUAAUCCGCCUGGGGAGUACGACCGCAAGGUUGAAACUCAAAAGAAUUGACGGGGGCCCGCACAAGCGGUGGAGCAUGUGGUUUAAUUCGAAGCUACGCGAAGAACCUUACCAGGUCUUGACAUCUUCUGACAGUCUAAGAGAUUAGAGGUUCCCUUCGGGGACAGAAUGACAGGUGGUGCAUGGUUGUCGUCAGCUCGUGUCGUGAGAUGUUGGGUUAAGUCCCGCAACGAGCGCAACCCUUAUUACUAGUUGCCAGCAUUAAGUUGGGCACUCUAGUGAGACUGCCGGUGACAAACCGGAGGAAG